rnacentral:tRNA from 1 species
AACCUCCAUAGUGUCACAAGCACAGUAAAUUUUCACUUUACAAGGGCAUGAUCUUAUGCUGGACGU